rnacentral:rRNA from 1 species
CCUACGGGAGGCAGCAGUGGGGAAUAUUGCACAAUGGGGGAAACCCUGAUGCAGCGACGCCGCGUGAGCGAUGAAGUAUUUCGGUAUGUAAAGCUCUAUUAGCCGGGAAGAAAAUGACGGUACCUGACUAAGAAGCCCCGUCUAACUACGUGCCAGCAGCCGCGGUAAUACGUAGGGGGCGAGCGUUAUCCGGAUUCACUGGGUGUAAAGGGAGCGUAGACGGGCAAGCAAGUCAGGGGGGAAAGCCCGGGGGCCAACCCCGGGACUGCCCGUGGAACUGCAUGGCUGGAGUGCGGGAGGGGCAGGCGGAAUUCGUGGUGUAGCGGUGAAAUGCGUAGAUAGCAGGAGGAACACCGGCGGCGAAGGCGGCCUGCUGGACCGCGACUGACGUUGAGGCUCGAAAGCGUGGGGAGCGAACAGGAUUAGAUACCCCUGUAGUC